AGCUUAACAGCUAGCUCAUCUAGUACCCCCCCCCCCCCAAAACCAUCCCCACCCAUAAAGAUACUAAUUUAAUUAACCAAAUCAUUUUACCCCUAAAGUAUGGGAGACAGAAAAAGAC
rnacentral:rRNA from 1 species